AAAAAAAUUAACCACAAAAUUUCCCACUUGUAAUUAAUAAAUCAAUUAUUUAUUUUAUAAUUUUUUUUGUGAUUUCAUUAACACAUUACAAAGUUUUAUUUUCAUAUUUUAAGAAAAAAUUUGCCAUCCUAAUUUAACAAGUUAUGGGGACGCCGGGGAGACAGCCAGCGGUGCUCCUUCCAAUUUUGAAAUCUCUUUUUUCUAAGAAUAAAUUAGAAAUAGAAAUAAAUAUUAAUAGAUCAUCCGCCCAAAUAUGGAAAAAUCCAAGUAAAUAGUUAUUAGCUCUGAUGAGCCCAAAACUACUCUACAAUUACGCAUCUCAAAACAGAAACAUUUAGAUAUUUAGGAAAUACUUAAAGAAGUUAAUAUAUCAUUCUUUAUAUCUUCUGGUGAAAGUUAAAUAAGACCUUCAAAGAAACCACCAAUAAACAUUCUGCUCACGCCAGACUCAGGAACAGGAAAGGACCCCGUUACAGGAAGCGGCCGCUCAACCAAGCUCGACAGCAACCGCCCAGCUUAGACGCUAUGGCCAAUGCUAUCACCAUGCUGACCAAAUUAAAAAAUCGAAAUUUGUCUGUUUUUGAGUAAAUGAUCAGUCAUACGCUUCUAGGACGGCCUCGCUGGCGCGUUCAACUAUGAUUGAUGCAGAUGUCUCUUCUACUAACGACGAUGAGGAGGAUCAAAGAAGUGCCACCUCCAGAUCUAGGGCCCCAGCAACCCGACUUCACGCGCUAACCUCAAUCCGGAGCAUAAAGUCGCCAAGCUAAUGCGCCUUUGGAAAGGCCUUUCGUCGAACCUCAAAGGGCCUAAAUAUCAAGCUAAUGACAGGGAUCGUCAUGAAAUUAGACAUUGCAAAAAACUUGUCAAGUGUACGACCCCUGAGGCAGACAUGCGCAUCUGCGACACCCUGAUCGAGGUCCGCAUCAUCACAAUGUAAAUACAUCUGACGAAAGCUACCUACCUAUUAUUUAGCAACAUGCUAGAGUAAUCAAAAUUGGGGACAACGAUUAAAUCUGCUCCCCAAUGUAUAUAAUUCCGAAGUCAGACGGCUCUCCCAGAAUUAUCAGUGAUUACUCAGGUCUCUAAGAAUAUCCUCCCCUACCCGUUCCGGCUAAAAAAUCUUUCCCUAUGAUGUCAUCUAACCUGGAAAAGGCAAAAUUUGCUUGUAAAAUCGAUAUCAAAUUGGCCUUCUUUUCGAUACCCCUCGCAGUCCAGGUUUGCCAUUUAUUCGGUGUUCGGUUCCAAGGUAUCAAAUAUCGGUAUAAAGUACUCCCAAUGGGGGCUUCGUUUAGCCCAUAUUGUUUACAGGGCAUUAUUUUAGACGCUUGCGCUAAAACCGUCAGGAGAGCCUCAUAUAACGUCUACUUACACGAUAUUCUAAUCUAUGGGGGAAAUGAAUUCGACAUGAAAUGGUCAACUAGGUCUCUUAGAUCUAUGGAAGGAUUGGGACUAACUAUCUUCCCUAGCAAGUCAGUCCCUGACCCCACAUUACUCAUCAAUAUACCUAAUACUAUAGACUUAGAGAUCAAGACGGGUGGGUCUAUUUAUCGCUCGGCUAACCACAUAAUAAAUCAUUUAUUACUAAAUAUCGCUCGGCUAGUAAAUGUCGCUCGACAAACCACAUGAUAAAUUAUUUAACUAAAUUUCGCUCGACUGGGAAAUAUCGCUCGGCUAACCACAUAAUAAAUCAUUUAUUACUAAAUAUCGCUCGGCUAGUAAAUAUCGCUCGAUUGGGAAAUGUGGCUCGGUUAACCACAUAAUAAAUCAUUUAUUAUUUAAAUUAUGCUCGGCUAAUUACAUAAUAAAUUUUUUAUUAAUAAAUAUCGCUCGGCUUAUAUUUAUGUAUUAAAUUUCCAAACAUUUUCC